rnacentral:misc_RNA from 1 species
GAUGAAGAACGUAGCGAAAUGCGAUAAGUAAUGUGAAUUGCAGAAUUCAGUGAAUCAUCGAAUCUUUGAACGCACCUUGCACCCUUUGGUAUUCCGAAGGGUAUGCUCGUUUGAGUGUCAUUGUACUCUCACACUUCCGAUCGUUUGGAUCGGGAGCGGUGGACUUGGGUGUUGCUGCUUUACUGUGGCUCACCUUAAAUGCAUUAGUGCACCUUUCGGUUGGACAUAGUACGGCGUGAUAAGUGUCUUCGCCGGCACCUCACAGAGGGUGGCUGAUCGGGAGCUCUGUGCUUCAAACCGUCCUCGGAAAACAGCUGACAACUUGACCUCAAAUCGAGUAGGACUACCCGCUGAACUUAAGCAUAUCAAUAAGCGGAGGA